UUGGAUCUUUUAUGACUUUAUUAUGGGAUAACAGAAAAAGUGACAACAUCUGCUGGGUCAAAAAUAUACAGUACAUAGAGCAGUGCUAAUAUUUGGUUACAUGUCCCAUGGCCAUUUUCACUUCCAUUAGGCGCUCAUAUGCAGUGACUGCAUGGAAUGGAAUCAUGAUGUGCAUGUUCUCUUACAUUAUAUGGUUUAAUGGAGUUUUAUACAUUGCAACAAAGUAUAUUUAUGUUUUCAACAACCAUUACCUGAUGACAUUUUAAAUGUAUGGUAUGUAUGGGACACGCUUCUGAUACAAAACUUUCCGAAACAAAAGUACAAGCACAUGUUAAAAACAAUGUAAAAUUGUACAAUUAACAAUCUUUAAGUGCUUUUGCUGGGCAAAACAUUUAAGUACAAUAUUCCAUUGUGCAAGCAAUUUGUAGUCAUAUUAGUUUAAUUCGAAUGAGUUUAAUGUGUCUACGAUGAAUAAAUAUUUUUUCAGGAAAAUAUAUUACAAUUUAAUUGAAUAAAAACACCAAAGUCAAUUAGACAAAAUGUUGCAGUCAGUACUGUCGUAACUGUGCUCCUUUAUCAGUAUCACUGCACGGCAUGUAUCAGUCUGCUUCACUGUCCUUUUUAUAACACUUAUGGAUUGAUUUCCCUUUACUGUGAGCUAGCUAACAUCUCUCCAACACAACAUUAGAAUGAUGUUAUCUACACUGCAUUCCACAAGGAAUAUUAUUUUUAAAGAAUGUAGAUGAAAAAUCACUGACAUGUAACCCUUAGAUUUACCAAAUUAAAAUCUGUUCAAAAACAUCAUGAUCACGGAAUCACAAUCAAGUAAAAAUCCAUGCUAAACACGAUUCAUGUUGAGGUAUUAGAGCAUGGGACGUAAACAAAGCAAGUAUAUGGCACAAUCAGUAAAUACGAGUGAUGGAUGGACGAGUGGUGGGUGUUCUCCUGACGGGUCGUCACCAGGCCCCCAGCAGCUUCCUGUGCUCCUGCUUGAUGCAGCUGUAGAUGGGGUGGUAGAAGCGGCGGUCGGGCACCAUGAGGUCGGUGACGAUCUCGGUGUGGUCGACGCGGGGGAGCAGGUAGAGCGACACCUUCACGGACAGCGAGGUGAGGAGGUCGCAGAACUUUGCGGAGGAAUCGAAGGGGACGAUGAUGUCGUCGGUCCCGUGGAGCAGAGCAAACGGAGGGAUUCUGGCAGAGGUGAAAAGCAGAGAGGAUUGUGGGUGUUUAAAAUAAAAAAAAGAAUAAGCAGAUUCAACAGAUGUUUUUUAUGUGAGGUUGUUAUUCUGGUGCCACCUGUCCAGCUUGUCCCGGCUCAGCCUCUUCAGUAAGUGUGUCGGCGAGUAGUACGGGAAGUUCUCCACUCCAUUCAUGGCUUUGUGCAUGGUGGAGACGUACUCGACUCCCCGCUUCUGCUCGUGCUCGUAAUGGUCCACGAUGUUGUACACGCCACUCAGACC
ensembl:lncRNA